AUGCUCUAUAAAUGGCGACUGCACGCAACGUUUCAGUGCAUCCACCAAGUGUACACGCAUACACUAGCUACUACAUCUCACUUUCAGUGGCAACUGGCAAGUGAGUGUGGAGCGAUAGCAGCAAUGGCGGCCUCCUCGUGGCAAGUGGCCCUUCUCGCCGUCGCGCUCUGCCUGCUCCCCGCACUGCCGGCGGCGGGCGCGGCCCGGGCCUUCUUCAUCUUCGGCGACUCGCUGGUGGACAACGGCAACAACAACUACCUCAUGACGUCGGCGCGCGCCGACUCGUGGCCCUACGGCAUCGACACCCCGGACCACCGCGCCACGGGGAGGUUCUCCAAUGGCAAGAACGUCGUCGACCUCAUCAGCGAGCAGAUAGGAUCCGUGCCGGUGCUGCCGUAUCUUAGCCCCGAGCUGGACGGCGAGAACCUGCUCGUCGGCGCCAACUUCGCCUCCGCCGGCAUCGGAAUCCUCAACGACACCGGCAUCCAGUUCGCCAACAUCAUCCGGAUCUCGAAGCAGCUGACCUACUUCGAGCAGUACAAGCACCGGCUGGCCAAGCUCUACGGCCCGGAGCGGGCGGCGCGGGUGGUCGGCGGCGCGCUGACGCUCAUCACGCUCGGCGGCAACGACUUCGUCAACAACUACUACCUGGUGCCCUACUCGGCCCGCUCCCGGGAGUUCUCCCUCCCCGACUACAUCAAGUACAUUUUGUCCGAGUACAAGCAGGUGCUCCGCCGCAUCCACGGCCUCGGCGCGCGCCGCAUCCUCGUCACCGGCGUCGGCCCCAUCGGCUGCGUGCCCGCCGAGCUCGCCAUGCACAGCCUCGACGGCAGCUGCGACCCCGAGCUGCAGCGCGCGUCCGAGGCCUACAACCCGCAGAUGGAGGCCAUGCUCAACCAGCUCAACGCCGAGGUCGGCAGCGGGAACGGCAACGGCGCGGUGUUCGUGGCAGUGAACACGCGCCGCGCGCACGACGACUUCAUCGCCGACCCCAAGGCAUACGGCUUCGUCACCGCCACCGAGGCCUGCUGCGGCCAGGGCCGGUUCAACGGCAUCGGCAUCUGCACCAUGGUGUCCAGCCUCUGCGCCAACCGCGACGAGUACGUGUUCUGGGACGCCUUCCACCCCACGGAGCGCGCCAACCGCCUCAUCGCCCAGAACUACCUCACCGGCUCCACCGACUACAUCUCCCCCAUGAACCUCUCCACCAUCCUCCAUCUCGACCGCCACCUCCACGACUAG
rnacentral:rRNA from 1 species